GAUGAACGCUGGCGGCGUGCCUAAUACAUGCAAGUCGAGCGAACGGACGAGAAGCUUGCUUCUCUGAUGUUAGCGGCGGACGGGUGAGUAACACGUGGAUAACCUACCUAUAAGACUGGGAUAACUUCGGGAAACCGGAGCUAAUACCGGAUAAUAUCUUUAACCGUAUGGUUCAAGAGUGAAAGACGGUCUUGCUGUCACUUAUAGAGGGAUCCGCGCUGCAUUACCUAGUUGGUAAGGUAACGGGUUACCAAGGGAACGAUGCAUACCCGACCUGAGAGGGUGAUCGCCCAAACUGGAACUGGACCACGCUCCAGCCUCCUACGGGAGGCAGCAGUAGGGAAUCUUCCGCAAUGGGCAAAAGCCUGACGGAGAAACGCCGGGUGAUUAAUAAAGGUCUUCGAAUCUUAAAACUCUGUUAUUAGGAAAGAACAUAUGUGUAAGUAACUGUGCACAUCUUGACGGUACCUAAUCAGAAAGCCACGGCUAACUACGUG
rnacentral:rRNA from 1 species